rnacentral:misc_RNA from 1 species
UUGAAAUAAAUCUGAUAAGUUGUUGCUGGCUCUAGAGCAUGUGCACACUUGUCAUCUUUAUAUUUCCACCUUUGUGCAUCUUUUGUAGGCCUGGAUAUCAGGUUUGAGGAUUGAUUUUAAAUAAUCUUUCUUUACAUUUGCAGGCCUAUGUUUCUUCAUAUUAUAUAUAUAUGCCCCAUUGUAUGUUCUAGAAUGUAAUAAAAUGGGCCUUUGUGCCUAUAAACAUUUAAUA